rnacentral:rRNA from 1 species
UCGGCGAGUGAAGCGGCAACAGCUCAAAUUUGAAAGCUGGUACUUUUAGUGCCCGCGUUGUAAUUUGUAGAGGAUGUUUCGGGUGCGGUGCCGGUCUAAGUUCUUUGGAACAAGACGUCAUAGAGGGUGAGAAUCCCGUAUGUGACUGGUUGCCUGUGCCCAUGUGAAACUCCUUCGACGAGUCGAGUAGUUUGGGAAUGCUGCUCAAAAUGGGAGGUGUAUUUCUUCUAAAGCUAAAUAUUGGCCAGAGACCGAUAGCGCACAAGUAGAGUGAUCGAAAGAUGAAAAGCACUUUGGAAAGAGAGUUAAACAGUACGUGAAAUUGUUGAAAGGGAAGCGCUUGCAAUCAGACUUGCGCGGCGUCGAUCAGCCUGGGUUUUCCCUGGUGUACUCGGCGUCGCUCAGGCCAGCAUCAGUUUCGGCGGUGGGAUAAAGGCUUAGGGAACGUGGGUUGCUUCGGUGACCGUUAUAGCCCUAGGUGCAAUGCCGCCUGUCGGGACUGAGGACCGCGCUUCGGCUAGGAUGCUGGCGUAAUGGUUGUAAGCGACCCGUCU